AGAGUUUGAUCCUGGCUNNUAACACAUGCAAGUCGAGGGGCAUCACGGGGUAGCAAUACUCUGGUGGCGACCGGCGCACGGGUGAGUAACACGUAUGCAACCUACCUCGUACAGGGGGAUAACCCGGAGAAAUUCGGACUAAUAUCCCAUAAUGAUAUUGAAAGGCAUCUUUUAAUAUUUAAAGCUCAGGCGGUACGGGAUGGGCAUGCGGAACAUUAGCUGGUUGGUAGGGUAACGGCCUACCAAGGCUACGAUGUUUAGGGGACCUGAGAGGGUUAUCCCCCACACUGGUACUGAGACACGGACCAGACUCCUACGGGAGGCAGCAGUGAGGAAUAUUGGUCAAUGGGCGCAAGCCUGAACCAGCCAUCCCGCGUGAAGGAAGAAGGCGCUAUGCGUUGUAAACUUCUUUUCCAGGGGGAGAAUUUUCCGGUCGUGACCGGGAUUGACGGUACUCUGGGAAUAAGCAUCGGCUAACUCCGUGCCAGCAGCCGCGGUAAUACGGAGGAUGCGAGCGUUAUCCGGAUUUAUUGGGUUUAAAGGGUGCGUAGGCGGAUCAAUAAGUCAGUGGUGAAAUUCUGCAGCUUAACUGUAGACUUGCCAUUGAUACUGUUGGUCUUGAGUAUGGUCAAGGUAGGCGGAAUGUGUAAUGUAGCGGUGAAAUGCUUAGAUAUUACACAGAACACCGAUUGCGAAGGCAGCUUGCUGGGCCAAUACUGACGCUGAUGCACGAAAGCGUGGGGAUCGAACAGGAUUAGAUACCCUGGUAGUCCACGCCGUGAACGAUGUUCACUAGGUGUUGGGGGUAUUGACCCCCUCAGUGCCGAAGCUAACGCAUUAAGU
rnacentral:rRNA from 1 species